rnacentral:rRNA from 1 species
UAACCUGCCUUGUAGCGGGGGAGUAACUAUUGGAAACGAUAGCUAAUACCGCAUAACAAUGGAUGACACAUGUCAUUUAUUUGAAAGGGGCAAUUGUUCCACUACAAGAUGGACCUGCGUUGUAUUAGCUAGUAGGUGAGGUAAUGGCUCACCUAGGCGACGAUACAUAGCCGACCUGAGAGGGUGAUCGGCCACACUGGGACUGAGACACGGCCCAG